rnacentral:tRNA from 1 species
CCUUCGAUGGCUCAGUUGGUAGAGCGGAGGACUCUAGUAAAAAUGGUGAGGCAUCCUUAGGUUGCUGGUUUGACUCUGGCUUGAAGGA